AUACAUGCAAGUCGAACGCGUCUCCGUUAAUGAUUUUAGGUGCUUGCACUUGAAAGAUUUAACAUUGAGACGAGUGGCGAACUGGUGAGUAACACGUGGGUAACCUGCCCUUGAAGUAGGGGAUAACACUUGGAAACAGGUGCUAAUACCGUAUAACAACCAAAACCACCUGGUUUUGGUUUAAAAGACGGCUUCGGCUGUCACUUUAGGAUGGACCCGCGGCGUAUUAGCUUGUUGGUAAGGUAACGGCCUACCAAGGCGAUGAUACGUAGCCGACCUGAGAGGGUAAUCGGCCACAUUGGGACUGAGACACGGCCCAAACUCCUACGGGAGGCAGCAGUAGGGAAUCUUCCACAAUGGACGAAAGUCUGAUGGAGCAACGCCGCGUGAGUGAUGAAGGGUUUCGGCUCGUAAAACUCUGUUGUUGGAGAAGAACAGGUGUCAGAGUAACUGUUGACAUCUUGACGGUAUCCAACCAGAAAGCCACGGCUAACUACGUGCCAGCAGCCGCGGUAAUACGUAGGUGGCAAGCGUUGUCCGGAUUUAUUGGGCGUAAAGCGAGCGCAGGCGGUUUUUUAGGUCUGAUGUGAAAGCCUUCGGCUUAACCGGAGAAGUGCAUCGGAAACCGGGAGACUUGAGUGCAGAAGAGGACAGUGGAACUCCAUGUGUAGCGGUGAAAUGCGUAGAUAUAUGGAAGAACACCAGUGGCGAAGGCGGCUGUCUGGUCUG
rnacentral:rRNA from 1 species